rnacentral:rRNA from 1 species
CCUACGGGAGGCAGCAGUAGGGAAUAUUGCUCAAUGGGGGAAACCCUGAAGCAGCAACGCCGCGUGGAGGAUGAAGGUUUUCGGAUUGUAAACUCCUUUUGUUAGAGAAGAGAAUGACGGUAUCUAAGGAAUAAGCACCGGCUAACUCCGUGCCCGCAGCCGCGGUAAUACGGAGGGGGCAAGCGUUACUCGGAAGCACUGGGCGUAAAGAGCGCGUAGGCGGGAUAGCAAGUCAGAUGUGAAUUCCUAUGGCUUAACCCUAGAACUGCAUUUGAAACUGUUAUUCUAGAGUUUGGGAGAGGUAGGUGGUAUUCUUGGUGUAGCGGUCACAUCCUUAGCGAUCAAGAGGAAUACUCAUUGCGACGGCGUCCUGCUAGAACAUACCUGACGCUGAUGCGCGAAAGCGUGGGGAGCAAACAGGAUUAGAUACCCUUGUAGUC